CCACUCCUGCACCCCAUCCCCCCUCUGUAUCUCUGGGUAUCCACAGAGUUCUGCCUUCAGCAAGACAACCAAGACUUUAGCCCAGCAGAAGCGCUGGGAGAAUAUCCGGUGCCGGGUCUACCUGGGGCUAGCCGUGGCUGGCGGCCUUCUCCUCAUCCUGGUUGUGCUUCUGGUCAUCUUUCUUCCGAGUGGAGAGGACAGUAGUAAACCAUAGGCCUAGGAUGCAGGCACGGCCUUAGGGACUGGGGCCUGACCCAGCCUGGCCUGAAGGAAAGGCUGAAUGGCUGCACUGGCCUGUUCUGGUCUCCAGAGAAUCCUGGUGUUUGCUUCCAUCUAGGACACCCCACUGACUGCUGAAGGGCAUGCUGGAUAUGUGCACCUCUGCGUCUCCCAUCAUGCCAUGGACUGGCCCUAUUGGGCCACACCACUGGAGCUCAGUAAAAGCUGCUGUUUGGUU
rnacentral:lncRNA from 1 species